rnacentral:rRNA from 1 species
AUCGAACGCUGGCGGCAGGCCUAAUACAUGCAAGUCGAACGAGUGGCGGACGGGUGAGUAAUGUCUGGGAAACUGCCUGAUGGAGGGGGAUAACUACUGGAAACGGUAGCUAAUACCGCAUACCAUCGGAUGUGCCCAGAUGGGAUUAGCUAGUGGGUGGGGUAAAGGCUCACCAAGGCGACGAUCCCUAGCUGGUCUGAGAGGCUGACCGGCCACACUGGGACUGAGACACGGUCCAGACUCCUACGGGAGGCAGCAGUGGGGAAUAUUGGACAAUGGACGCAAGCCUGAGGGAGCAACGCCGCGUGAGUGAAGAAGGCCUUCGGAUUGUAAAAUACUGUCGGCAGGGAAGCGUUACCCAAAGAGAAAGCAACGGCUAACUACGUGCCAGCAGCCGCGGUAAUAC